rnacentral:rRNA from 1 species
CGGGUGAGUAACACGUAUCCAACCUGCCGUCUACUCUUGGACAGCCUUCUGAAAGGAAGAUUAAUACAAGAUGGCAUCAUGAGUCCGCAUGUUCACAUGAUUAAAGGUAUUCCGGUAGACGAUGGGGAUGCGUUCCAUUAGAUAGUAGGCGGGGUAACGGCCCACCUAGUCUUCGAUGGAUAGGGGUUCUGAGAGGAAGAUCCCCCACAUUGGAACUGAGACACGGUCCAA